CCAUCUUGUGGGCAAAAGCAAAGCACCUCCAAUAAGUAUUUAAAAUAACCAAAAUCAAAACCCAAAUCAAACGUUUUUUGAUUGAUCAACUUACUCUACCAUUUCUCAACAAUCUCUCUUCUUGUUCUGCUUCUGGGUUGGGUUGCAAAUUGAUAUCUCUCAGCAUGGGACUCUGCUUCACCAAAUCUCGCUCCCAUGAAAUCCCCAUCACUUACUCAGACUCUCCUCCUCGUCCUUACCAACAUCCGCCCACAAGGCCACCCCAAGAACGCUAUAAUCCUAAUCGCCCGCAGUUACCAUCUCUUCCUCAGCCUCCUUCUACAUCUAUUUCUCCUGCGAAUCCACCUUCGAAUAUUGGUCCUAUUCUUGGCAAACCUUAUGUUGAUAUAAACUCUCUCUACUUUUUUGAUAAAGAAUUGGGUAGAGGUCAGUUUGGGAUCACUCAUCUUUGCAGAGAGAAGACUACGCACUUAAACUACGCUUGCAAGUCUAUCUCCAGGCGAAAGCUGGUAAAUAAUGAGGACGUUGAAAAUGUUAGGCGAGAGAUUUUGAUAUUACAGCACCUAACUGGGCAACCCAAUAUUGUGGAAUUUAAGGGUGCUUAUGAGGAUAGGCAAAAUGUGCAUUUGGUGAUGGAGUUAUGCUCUGGUGGGGAGCUCUUCGAUCGGAUUACAGCCAAAGGGAGCUACUCAGAGGUUGAAGCGGCCGCGAUUAUGAGGCAAAUUGUUAAUGUGGUUCACGCUUGUCAUUUUAUGGGGGUUAUGCAUAGGGACUUGAAGCCUGAAAAUUUCUUGCUUGUGAAUAAGGAAGAGAAUUCUCCACUAAAAGCCACUGAUUUUGGACUCUCUGUCUUCAUAGAACAAGAGAAAGUGUAUACGGACAUUGUUGGAAGUGCAUACUAUGUU
rnacentral:misc_RNA from 1 species